AACCUUUGCUGUCUUGGAACAGAUCACCACUGCAAGAGGGGAAGUUGCUACUGUGAUGAAUUCUGCCAUGUGGUACCAGACUGCUACCCAGACCACAGUGUCCUCUGCAACCCUCGUCAAAGGUGCCUACAUGUUCCUUCUAGCUUUGUUUCCCUGAUGUUCCUUGCCACCUGCUACUCCUCUCUGAGCUACUUUUCCAGCUUCUCAGAUGACCAAGAUGGUGCUGCAGAUGGUGCUGAGGAUGGAGAACCCACCAAGCCCCGCUAGGAGCCACCUAGACUGGAUGUAGAGCAUGGCCCAUCAGAAACUCAAAAGAAUGCUACCUUUGUCUCUCACCCACCUGUGACCUGGAAGCUUUCUCCUGGCUGCGAGUUGUCCCACGUUUGCUUGGCGUUGCCCGGCCUUUUCCAGACUGAACCAAUGUUCAUCUUACAUAUGUUGAUUGAUGUCUCAUGUCUCCCUAAAACGUAUGACCACCUUGGCACAUGUCAGGACAUCCUGAGGCUGUGUCACGGGUGUG
rnacentral:lncRNA from 1 species